UCUUAGAAAACUUUCCACACAAGAUGUACUAUGACAGAAUAAUCCUAACAGACAAAACCGUACAUCGCAACAGACCAGACAUUACUCUCAUAGACAAGCAAAACAAAGUUACAUUUAUACACAUCUCAAUACCCAACACAUACAACAUCCAGGAUGCAUUCAGCCAAAAAAUUAACAAAUACACAGAACUCUCACAAGAAAUUAAGCGUCUUUGGGUAAUGCAAAAGGUAGUCACCAGUACCCAUCAUUCUAUCCUCAACAGGAGUAAUUCCUCACACUCCACACAAAAGCCUUAAAACACUAGAUUUAC
rnacentral:lncRNA from 1 species